AUAUUUUGACGGUGGCUUUCCCUUCUAUCCAGAUUGGAAUAGGAUUCAUAAUCCUUAAUUAUGUGGAUGAGAUCAUAAGGGUUUAAUUUUUAUUUUCGUUUAUUCUUACGCAGAAGCCAAGCACAAACCCUGUCAUCCAUUCCGCAAUGCUAUCACCUCCACCUCUAGAUACCUCCACGAUUGAGGAGCUCCAAUGUCGCCCGUCCUGUGACCACGGAAAGACGAGUCGUGAGUCGCGCACGCGAUUGGGAAGGUAUGUUUUUCCUGUAGGAACAAUAAUUAGACCCCUGCUAAAGUAAAAGAACAAUAAGUUCAGUUUCGUCAUCAUGGCCUCCAAACGCAUCUUGAAGGAGCUUAAGGAUUUGCAGAAGGAUCUUCCCACUUCCUGCAGCGCCGAUGGAUAUUUCAGUGAAGCUAUGGUUAAUUUUUAUUUGGGCUUGUGGCUGAGGACAUGUUUCAUUGGCAAGCAACAAUUAUGGGACCUUUGAUCCUCACUAUCCUUUCAAACCACCUAAGGUUGCAUUUAGGACUAAGGUCUUCUACCCGAAUAUCAAUAGCAAUGGAAGCAUUUGUCUUGAUAUCCUCAAAGAACAAUGGAGUCCAGCUCUUACUAUCUCUAAGGUUUGGCUUUGUUAUCUUCCAAGAACAAUAAUUAGACCCAUGUUAAUUUCUAAGUUCAGAUAAAUCAAAUUUUGCAUUGCAAUUUUAGUUUCUCUUCAUCACUGUUCAAUUUGCUAGUUUCUGGGUUCAAUUUCGGCGCUUUUGUACAAGCAAAUGCAAAAUUUUACUCUUUCUUGUUUUUGGAUUGAUGGUAAGGGAUCGUGUGCUUGUAUAUAAUUGACUUUGUGAUUGUUAUGAGCUUUGUUUGGAAU